AGGGUGUAAACGCUGCAGACUUGGUGUUGGGAACCCUUCGGGGUGCUCAGUGCCGGAGAGAAGUUGUUAAGUCUGCUACUUGGGGAGUACGUCCGCAAGGAUGAAACUUAAAGGAAUUGGCGGGGAGCACCGCAACGGGAGGAGCGUGCGGUUUAAUUGGAUUCAACGCCGAAAAACUCACCAGCAGCGACUGUUACAUGAAAGUCAGGUUGAUGACCUUACUAGAUUUUCAGAGAGGUGGUGCAUGGCGUCAGUGACU
rnacentral:rRNA from 1 species